rnacentral:rRNA from 1 species
UUUAUUUGAGAGUUUGAUCCUGGCUCAGGACGAACGCUGGCGGCGUGCCUAAUACAUGCAAGUUGAGCGAUGAAGAUUGGUGCUUGCACCAAUUUGAAGAGCAGCGAACGGGUGAGUAACGCGUGGGGAAUCUGCCUUUGAGCGGGGGACAACAUUUGGAAACGAAUGCUAAUACCGCAUAACAACUUUAAACAUAAGUUUUAAGUUUGAAAGAUGCAAUUGCAUCACUCAAAGAUGAUCCCGCGUUGUAUUAGCUAGUUGGUGAGGUAAAGGCUCACCAAGGCGAUGAUACAU